AAAUUUUAUCAAAAAAAAAAACACACUCACUUAAUACCCAAAAUAAAAAAACAAAAACACACACACAAAAGUGAAAAAACACAUUUCAUUGAGAAAUCCCUAAAUCCCAAAACACUCUUUCAUCGCCACCACAGUCACACUCCGGCGCAACUUUCUUCAUCGUUCCCUUCAAGAAAAGUGAAUGGGUUCAUCGUUCUCUCCAAUCGUUUGUAUCAAAACUCACUCUCCAAUCUUUCACCUUAAAUCCCUUAAUCACUCUCUCCAAUCGAUCUCUUUACUGUUCCCGUCGAGAGAAGUAAGAUUUGUGUUGAGCAUAAAGAAGAAGUGAGAAUCCUUAGGCCGCCGACCCUCUGACCGCCUCUAUACCGAACCUCCACCUCAUACUCCGGCGCUCUGCCGUUCUUUCAAAGCUCGACUGCUCUGUCUACCCGUCGUUGCUUCUCGUUCCAUUGUUCUGUCAUCUGCUUCCACUGUUCGUUGUUGAUAAAAUGAAAAUGGCGACUUCACCAUAUGAGGAGCCACGGAGCAAAAUAAUAGAAGAGAAUGCUAAAAGGAUGGAAUCAUCCUUAUGAGUUUAUACAAAUGCAUUUUUAUCAUACAAAUGCAUUUUUCUUAUGGGUGUAUCAUAAUUUUGAUUUCUUGUCUCUUGAAACUAAGUUGAUUGCAAGUACUCAAAUUAUGUACUUUGGAUGCUGAAAUUGGUCCUACCUUAUUUGACUGAAUUUUUUAUUGUGGUCUGUUAGGAUUUGGCAUUUGAUUACUUGUCUCUUUCUGUCCUGCUGGGAGAUAACUUCUACAACUACAAUUUUGGAGAUCUACUUGCCCACCCUGUUGUGAGUAUCUGCUGAUUAUUUUUUUUUGGAAUGUCUCCUCUUUCAAGUUUUCUCGACUCCAUUCAUCUAUUUAAGUUACUAUAUACUUAUGCAGGUAGGGAAUCCUCUUAUGGAGUUAAAUAUGCUCUCAAUUCAAGAGCAGAGUUCUUAUGGUUCCAUGGACUGAUUUCAAAUUCUUCUUUCAAGUGUUAAGGAUGAGAAGCCAACCAACUGGUUGUUUGCAGAAUCUGUUCAGAUGAAGGGGAAACCAAUCACACAUAAGACAAAUUGUUAUGGUUAGAUAAAAUUUGUAAAUUUCCAUCUCCUUUUAACACUUACAUUAAAUAAUGCUCUAUUACUUCCAUCUCAUUUUAAUAUUUCUCUAAUAGUAGUGAUACUAGUAUAUCCUCUUAUAGUAUGAUUCUAGCUCUUUGUAUAUUAUGAUUGACCUUUUCAUCUCUUUCUUAUUAAUUCCACUUAAUUGUUUCUUUACUACACUAUGGUGAUUUAUUUUCUGUUACUUAUAGUAUGUUAUUGAUGUUGCUGCUGCAUAAGUUUCUGGUUUGUGUGCUUCUCACUAUGUUUUUGGUUGCUUCGUAGUUCUGUUUUUGAAGUCUGAAUGCGAACCCUCUGCGAGACCACCGUGAGGCAACGCGAAAGUUGUUUGCUACCACACCAUCACUAUCUUCAAUCAAUGGCUCCAGUUGCAGUGGGAGAUGUGAUUCUAGACGGAGCUUAAUUUUGUUGCCCUUAUUUAUUGUCAUUUGUGUGUGUGCUAUAGGUCCGGGGUUUUUGAUGAUUGAGUCCAUUCGCUUUUUUAAGUAUCCUAAUAGUUAUGUUUCUUCAGGUAACCAAAUAAGAAGAGUCAAGAGAUGGUAGCACUAAUUAAGGAUUAUGAAGCAACAUCAUUUACUAGGGAAUGUUUAGAUAUUUUAAGAACUUAUUUUGCCAUAAUGUUUUGUAUGUUUAACCACUAUACUAAUGUUUAUGUUUUAGUUUUUCAAUGUUUGAACUACAUUGAUUUUUUUUC